rnacentral:rRNA from 1 species
AGGGUAUAGACCCGAAACCCGGUGAUCUAGCCAUGGGCAGGUUGAAGGUUGGGUAACACUAACUGGAGGACCGAACCGACUAAUGUUGAAAAAUUAGCGGAUGACCUGUGGCUGGGGGUGAAAGGCCAAUCAAACCGGGAGAUAGCUGGUUCUCCCCGAAAGCUAUUUAGGUAGCGCCUCGUGAACUCAUCUCCGGGGGUAGAGCACUGUUUCGGCUAGGGGGCCAUCCCGGCUUACCAACCCGAUGCAAACUGCGAAUACCGGAGAAUGUUAUCACGGGAGACACACGGCGGGUGCUAACGUCCGUCGUGAAGAGGGAAACAACCCAGACCGCCAGCUAAGGUCCCAAAGUCAUGGUUAAGUGGGAAACGAUGUGGGAAGGCCCAGACAGCCAGGAUGUUGGCUUAGAAGCAGCCAUCAUUUAAAGAAAGCGUAAUAGCUCACUGGUCGAGUCGGCCUGCGCGGAAGAUGUAACGGGGCUAAACCAUGCACCGAAGCUGCGGCAGCGACACUGUGUGUUGUUGGGUAGGGGAGCGUUCUGUAAGCCUGUGAAGGUGGCCUGUGAGGGUUGCUGGAGGUAUCAGAAGUGCGAAUGCUGACAUAAGUAACGAUAAAGCGGGUGAAAAGCCCGCUCGCCGGAAGACCAAGGGUUCCUGUCCAACGUUAAUCGGGGCAGGGUGAGUCGACCCCUAAGGCGAGGCCGAAAGGCGUAGUCGAUGGGAAACGGGUUAAUAUUCCCGUACUUGGUGUUACUGCGAAGGGGGGACGGAGAAGGCUAUGUUGGCCGGGCGACGGUUGUCCCGGUUUAAGCGUGUAGGUGUGUGUUCCAGGUAAAUCCGGUUCACUUUAACACUGAGGCGUGACGACGAGGCACUACGGUGCUGAAGCAACAAAUGCCCUGCUUCCAGGAAAAGCCUCUAAGCAUCAGGUAACAUCAAAUCGUACCCCAAACCGACACAGGUGGUCAGGUAGAGAAUACCAAGGCGCUUGAGAGAACUCGGGUGAAGGAACUAGGCAAAAUGGUGCCGUAACUUCGGGAGAAGGCACGCUGACAUGUAGGUGAAGUGAUUUACUCAUGGAGCUGAAGUCAGUCGAAGAUACCAGCUGGCUGCAACUGUUUAUUAAAAACACAGCACUGUGCAAACACGAAAGUGGACGUAUACGGUGUGACGCCUGCCCGGUGCCGGAAGGUUAAUUGAUGGGGUCAGCGCAAGCGAAGCUCCUGAUCGAAGCCCCGGUAAACGGCGGCCGUAACUAUAACGGUCCUAAGGUAGCGAAAUUCCUUGUCGGGUAAGUUCCGACCUGCACGAAUGGCGUAAUGAUGGCCAGGCUGUCUCCACCCGAGACUCAGUGAAAUUGAACUCGCUGUGAAGAUGCAGUGUACCCGCGGCAAGACGGAAAGACCCCGUGAACCUUUACUAUAGCUUGACACUGAACAUUGAGCCUUGAUGUGUAG